UUUUUUUUUUUUUUUUUUUUUUUUUUUUUUUCCGAAAGGCCAACACUUUAUUCAAUCGAAACGUGCAGGA
rnacentral:ribozyme from 13 species